GGGGGGGGGGGGGGGGGGGGGGGGGGGGGGGGGGGGGGGGGGGGGGGGGGGGCGUGCUCCUGGGUUCGGCGGCGGGCGGGUGAGUAGGGCCUAGGAAUCUGCCUGGGAGGGGGGGAUGACGUCCGGAAACGGGCGCUGAUACCGCAUACGUCCUGAGGGAGAAAGUGGGGGAGCUUCGGACCUCACGCUAUCAGAUGAGCCUAGGUCGGAGUAGCUAGUUGGUGGGGUAAAGGCCUACCACGGCGACGAGCCGUAACUGGUCUGCGAGGAUGAUUAGUCACCCUGGAGGUGAGACACGGUCCAGAGUACUAAGGGAGGCAGCAGUGGGGAAUAUUGGACAAUGGGCGAAAGCCUGAUACAGCGAUGCCGCGUGUGUGAAGAAGGUCUUCGGAUCGUGAAGAACUUGAAGUUGGGAGGAAGGGCAGUAAGUUAAUACCUUGCUGUUUUGACGUUACCAACAGAAUAAGCACCGGCUAACUUCGUG
rnacentral:rRNA from 1 species